UAUGCAAAGAAAACAUAGCUGUUUCAUAAUAACUACAAUGUCAAUUCAAAUGGAUUUCUUAUUGAGGCUGCAUGUGAAUAUUCUAAUAUUCUAAUAUACAUGAUGAUAUUCAUUAUCCACAAUUUCUGUUCAAAUAUAUACUUGAAAAUUGUGAUUUAAUAGUGUUCAAAAUUGUGAUCAACUCUGUUCAGUGGAUGAUUAAUGAGUUGUGACACUUAAUUAUACUCAUUAACUAUCGAUAAACAUAACUAACCACAUAUUUUGAACUGAACCGCCUUUACUAUUUAAUUUGUUCUCGAAUUUUGAUGUGUCAAAAUAUCAUUUCUCUAAACCUAUGAAGCACAAACACUCCUCAUAUUAGGCGUGACAUGUCCGACACAACACCGACACUUAUGAUUACAUUGAAUUAUGUCAUUUUCUCAAAGUAUCAUCAGUGUCAACAUGUCAGUGUCCAUGUCUGUGCUUCGUAGCUCUAAACAUAUAUACCCCAACCAAUUUUGAAGUAAAAAUCAAGACAAUACAUUGUAUACAAUUAUCUCUCAAAAUAAAAAUCCAAGUGGUAUUAUUCAAAUACCUCAAGAACAAUUGAGUUCUACAUCAUAACAUCAAGAAUUACACAAAAUACACAACAUAUUUUUUUUCUGAUAUAUAAACUUACAUACANNNUAGUAUACCUUGAUUUGUAAGCAAUAACUGAGCUUCCUACAACAGUGAUUGUAGAUGGUGUUGCUGCUGAGGCUGUGGCCAUUUUUAUUAUCUGUGAAAUAUGAGAAAAAGUUUAGAAAAAUAUUGAAUUAAGAAAUGAAAUAGAAAUGUAACAAUAUUGGAGAUAUAGUGUUUAUGAGUGAACCUUUUUUUUGUUGUUGAAAUGUGUGUAGAGUUUGUGGUAAGGGAGUUUUGUAUAUUUUGAUUAAAAGGGGGGAAAGGAUAAGGUAAGAUGAGUAUGGUUGGUUGAUAUAAGAAGAGAAUGUGAUAGAUUUAUUGAGAUUAUAAGUGGCGUAUAACUUUACUUAGAUGUUGGCCAUCAAAUCUAUCUAGCUAUUGGAACCU
rnacentral:lncRNA from 1 species